rnacentral:lncRNA from 1 species
UUAAGUUAAUCCCACCCCUAUUUAAUUUUUAAAUAUAAAUAUAAAUUUUAAUUUUUUAAUUUUUAAUUUUAAAAAUUAAAAAUUAAAAAAUUAAAAAUUAAUAUUUAUUUUUUAAAAUUAAAUAUUUUAAAUUUUAAAUUAUUAUUUUUAAUUAUUUAAAAAUUAAAUUUGAUAUUUUAUAUUUGUAACUUUAAAUUUGAGAUUUAAAAAUAUAAAUUUUAAUUUUAAAUUUUGAAUUUUAAAUUUUAAAUUAUUAUUUUAAAUUAUUUAAAUUUUAAAUUUGACAUCUUAUAUUUUUUAAAUUUAAAUUUUUUAAUUUGAGAUUUAAAAAUAAUUUUAAAAUUUAAAAUUUAAAAUUUAAAUUAUUAUUUUUAAUUAUUUAAUUUUUAAAUUUAAAUUCAAAUAUAAUAAUUGGGGCAAUAUCAUUAUUUUCCAUUUAUAACUACCUACUAUCCUUCUUAUUCCACUUACUCCAACCAAACACUAUUUUGCUUAUACCUGAACUAAACCCAAUUCUCAACCAAACACUAUCCUUCUUAUUUCACUUACUCCAACCAAACACUAUUUUGCUUAUACCUGAACUAAACCCAAUUCUCAACCAAACACAAAAUUACUCUAACCCCACCUUAACGCUAAACUUAACCUUAUCCCUGAAAUAACUAGUUUUUACUUAACCCCGAACCAAACGAAGCCUUGGUGUACUUAAAGUACGGUGGCAUAUAUUACAAAUGAUGAAAAGUUAUCCAAUGUCAACUCAAUCAAAA